rnacentral:rRNA from 1 species
UACGGAGGGUGCGAGCGUUGUCCGGAAUCAUUGGGCGUAAAGCGCGUGUAGGCGGCCCGGUAAGUCCGCUGUGAAAGUCGGGGGCUCAACCCUCGGAUGCCGGUGGAUACUGUCGGGCUCGAGUACGGAAGAGGCGAGUGGAAUUCCUGGUGUAGCGGUGAAAUGCGCAGAUAUCUGGAGGAACACCGGUGGCGAAGGCGGCAUCCUGGACCGGCAUUGACGCUGAGGCGCGAAAGCCAGGGGAGCAAACGGG